CCAGCUGUUCCAGUGUCUGAUAACCUCUUGAUAACCCUUUUGGUGAAGAAAUUUUUCCUAACAUCCAAUCUAAACCUCCCCAGGUGCAACUUGAAGCUGCUUCCUCUCAUCCUAUCACCUGUCACUCAGGAGAAGAGACCAGCACCCACUUUGCUACAACCUCCUUUCAGACAGUUGUAGGCACUGAUGCUCUCCAUAUGGACCUGAACAGGCUGGACCUCUGGGCUGAGACCAAUGGCAUGAGGUUUAACAAGGCCAAAUGCCAAGUCCUGCACUUGGGGCACAACAACCCUAUGCAGUGCUACAGACUAGGAGAAGUCUGGCCAGAAAGCUGCUGGAAGGAGGAUCUGGGGGUGUUGAUUGACAGCCGACUGAACAUGCACCAGCAGUGUGCCCAGGUGGCCAAGAAGGCCAUGAAGCACCUUCUUCUCCCUUUGCUUUUCCUCCCAUCUCCCAGAAAACAGCAGAUGAAAGAAGGACAAGCAGAGUCACCUAUUUCCUCAGAAUUAAACAUGUGUAGAUACCUUCAGAAUGGUAGCAAUAAGACCCACUCCUUUCUGUGAUGUCCCCAGACAAUGGCAGUGAGGAACUUUCUGAAGUUGUCACAGUGUCACCUGGACUCUGAAUAGAUGCAAGAAAGUUUUUCCUUUGAAAGCUUUCUCUGGGAGGGUUUGGAGGAUUCAGCUAGUAGUCCUAAAUUGCUUAUGGUCUAAAAGAUAAGACACUGAAUGUAAGAAAUCCAGGAUGGCAGGCUGCCUCUUCAUGUUUGCGUACUUGGUGUUCAGGACUGUAUCAUUCACCUUUUGCCAAAACCUCUUAGUGAAAUCAGAAUAGCUUAUAUUAAAGUUGCUGGACCAGUCUGCAAAAGUUUAUGGAGGGAACUGUGUUGCCUUAUCUCAGAGAAAGCAGGAUUUCCUUGCACCUAAAUACUUGUGAUGAGGUGUUUCUCCACUUCUGGUUCCACCCAUUUUCUAUUGAGAUUUGCUUUCCAACAUGACGCAGUAUGUUUUGAACCAUGCCUUUUUGAAUUUUCACCUCAAUGUCCCAUUCUUUAACACCAAAGAGCUUUACUGAGGUGAAUAAGUUAUGAAAUAGUCUUACAUAGCUAUAGGACAGGAAGCUCUUUAAGCGCUCAUUUCAGUGAAGACUGAGUGGUCUCAGAUCAUUAAGGAAGUGCUAAUAGUUGUCAGUUUGACUUUAAACAACUUAAACUAGAGUGAGAUCUGGGAAGCUAUGUAUUCUGUAGUUAUAUCUUCCCCUUUGUUUGUUAACAAGUGAUGAUUAUGCCUAGCAACAGCUGAGACUGCAUCAGGAUUCACAAUGAGUUCCCCAUCUCCAAAAUAUGUCCACGCACAUUGCAGAAUCAAAUUCUGAAAUUACAUUUUGAAGUUCUAUCAUUUGUAUGAUUCUGAAUCAAAUUAACAUUAACAUUACGUACGCCUCCACGCCUGUAGUACGUUACUUGAACACUGUAAAAAAUGAUGCACUGGAAUGCCCCAGGACAAGGAAGCAUUUAAAGUCUCUCUCUGGUGGAUGAGUAAAUACUUGCUUCACCUUUUUUUUUUUUUUUUUUUUUUUUUUUUUUAAUUGCUACUGGAAAAAUACACAAUAGGCAAAGAUUUUACUACCACUCUUAGGGUUCACUGUAUGUAAAGUAGUAAUGAAUGGGAAAUGAUUCUCAAAAUAUUUUGGAAGUCUUGCAAAAAGGAACAAGUCAUCAUUUUUAAUGACUAAAAAUGCCAACAAAUGCUCAAAACUUGCAUUUUUUUUUUGUUGUUGAGGAAGGUAAUUAAAAAAGCAAUUCUGACAAAAUAAGUAGUUUAAACCUAUCACUGUAAUCCAACCUGAAGUACUUUUGCAUUAAUUAUGAUAACCGACAGCUCUGUACUUUUCACAAAACAUACUUUUAAUUGUAGUCUGGUUCCAGGAAGUGUUAUAGGAAAGAUACAAGUGUUUUCCCAGCUUAGCGGUUAGAAACUGUGAAAAGAGAUCGCCUGGCAGAUGUAGGACUGAAGCGCCUGUCUGUGCAUCAUGGGAGUUCUGUGUCUUUGUUAUAUUAGUACUUUUGGAAAAGCUGAUCUGCGUGUUUAGAAACACCAGGUGACAUUUUCCUUCCAGAAUCCACUAAAAUUGACAUGCUAUUACACCCUGUGUUAGAAGCACAACCAGAAAUGUUGGUUCUCACCAUUCUCUUCUGGCUCAAGUGGUUCCAAAAUGGGCUAGUAACAGGUUGAUGGGAAGCUGGUUCACGGCCAAGGGGGAUUUUAGCAUUACUCCAUCACACAGCAGAACUAUUUACAAAACAUUAAAAAAUUAAAUCCAACUUUCAAACCCCAAUGAUAAAUGACUACAGUGGAGAAGUAUCAUGAGGUCUUUAUGCUGCAUAUGCUGAAGCGAGUUUUGUUUCCAUUUUUCAAAAAAAGAAAAAAAAUCCCUACCAGAAGCCCCUGGGUUAUCGAACUAUCUGUCAGAAACAGUUGUGAUUAAAAUCAUUAGAACUGCUAGAUAUGAUGUCAUACUUCUUUUCUUCUGAUUAAUGCAGCUAUGUUAAUUUGACAAUUUAUGUAAAUGUAAUAUCAUGUCUUACGGCCUUUGGUGGCAGCUCACAUCUAAACCUAACAUAAAUUGGACAGAAUUUUGUAAUGGGUCUUCAAAGGUGGAGCUUUCGCACAAAAUGGCCGGAAGCCUCAUUACUUCCAGACCAAAAGGGCAGCAGGGAGUCUUCAGUAAAUACACUUCAGAGCAGAGUAAAAAGUAAUACCCUAAAAUAUCAGCAGGAGAUCGGUGCUGAAAACCAGAUGCCGAAGGUAAACAUUUUAUCAGAACCAGAAAAAAGUUCUUCUGUGUUACCUGAUAUCCAUCAAGGUGAUACUUACAAAUACUCCUCAUGCUAAACAAAGCAAAAGAAUUUAAUCCCCAAGCAGGAUUCAGAAAGAGUCAGCAAGUUUUUCCUCUCACUGAAUUGGUAAAUAGCAAAUUGUCCAGCUUCCAUUACACUUUUAGUACAGAUCUUGAAUUGCAUUCUCCUACUUAUUUUUUUUCUUGGUUGCGUUCACUUGAAAGCUAACAGACGAAUGCUUGCUCUAGCAAGAUGAAACUGUGCAGUCCCAAUAGAUGGCUCAGAUCACUUACUGCUUCAUGUCCUGGUCCACUACAUGCUCUGUUAAUUUGCUUGCAAACUUUUUUCCUCCUGUUCAAUAAGACUUUGGGCUUCUCUCUAGAAAGUUAAACUCCAUCUCCUCUAGUAGGAGCCAUCUAUGUUGUAUUGGGUCUACUUCUACAGUUUGCCUUGAAAUACAAGUAAAAUCUGAAGUGAUAAUCAUUAUUUUAGUGAUGCUUUUUGAUAGCAUCAAUGGUCAGUGUUUAGGGAAAGGAAAUGAUCCCUGAGGAAUACUUGUUUAUUUGAUAAAACAUUAUGGUUCUGUUGAAUUUAGCAAGUAGUUGAAGAUGAAGAGUGAAUUUAAGGAGAGAGAAACUUCCAGUAUUACAAGCUGUGAAACAUAGCUCUGGAAACACUUGCUCUGUGAUAUAUUUUAUAGCAUACAUUUUUAAGAAAUUUUGUAUGGUCUAGAGGGUAGUGAAGAAGAAGUCAAAAUAUGAUUGCAGAGUCCCAACAACAGAAAAAAAGACCCAUGGGAAAUAAGGUAUGGAGAAGGCAAGCUGGUACUGACAGAAGUUAGAGACAGAUUCUGUCCCAACUUGCAAUACUACUUAACACUCACAAUCACAUUUAAAAUAGUAAUUUGGAAAGUGAGACUUAUUUGCAUGGCUCAAUACAGAAAUGUUGUGACAAAACCCCCAUGCAGCUGCCACCUAGCCUUGAAGAAAUAUUUGGUUGCAUAACAGCCAUCUCUUGCAGUUGGAAGUACUUAAUUCUUAUAUUUUUAUCUUUCUACCUGAAAGUGGCAGAAUGGCUUCUCUAGCGUGUAAGGUCCCUCUCCAGAAGGCAGGACAUAUCAUCACAGAAAGUGCAUUACCCUGCCCUGUGCACCGUUAUGGGCUUAUGUGGAAAUUGGAGGAUCAGAUGUACCUUGAUUGAAGUCUGCAUAUUUGCAUUUUAUGUUAAAACCCUUUACCACACUUCAGCAGCUGCAACAGAGGAGUUUGGGGUUUGUUUGUUGUGGAUGAGAAAUUUUGUGUGAUGGAGGUGAGUUACUGUUGUUUUAAAUUAUGUGGGUUUGGUUGAAGCUGAUGCCUAAAAAAACCCAAAAUCUGGAUAACGUUUACUUACCAGAUGCCAGCAAAAAUGCAUUGGUUUGAACAAAUACUGUAACUACUAAUUUAGUUAAAUCUAUCCAACUGUGAAAAUAUAUUGGCAUGAAUAAAAAUAUAUAGACAAGAAAUACAUUACAUUUUUUUUUUGUUUGAAAAAAACUGGCUUCAGUAAAGAGCAAUUGAAGUUUGAAAAUAUGCUUCCGAGAAGAAAUGUGUUCAUUUCCAUAAAACAUAUUGGUGUGUAAAUAUACAGUAUGUAUCAGUUCCAGAGCAAUAUUAUGUAUUCAGUGAAAUUUUAUUCUGUGUUAGUAAGAUGAACGAAGAAAAAGGAAUUGCGCGCUGCAAUUACUACAUAUAAAAUAAGAGCAGGAUGAAAUCCCAUUUAUAAGCAAUUAUAUAUGUGAGAUAUUUUGCUGGCUUUUGGAAAAGAAAAAAGUCUGUAAAACAACACUGUUGAUGCAAUGUCAAUGCAAAGUGAACCGAGGACAAAACGGACUGAUGUCUUUCGUAUUGAGAAGUACCUAAGGUGAAAAUAUUUGCAGAAGAAAACUGCGAAUGGUGAGUGGAAGCAGAAUGUCUUUUUCAUAACCUGACCUCUCAUCCAUAGAAUUUGUGGAAUGAAGAUCUGGGAAAAAAAUUAUGCUGGUAACAUGAUUCUUCAUUCAUUCUAUUUAGGUCCUACUGAAUGUUUGAUAGUUACCAGAAGGGUGUCCUUUCCUGUCUUCUAGCUGUUAAACUAGGAAGAAACUACUUGAAGAAAUUUUAAAGUUACUUACACUAAACCACACAAUUAUAGAGCCGUGUAGCUUUGACACCUCAUACCUUUGUUUACUUAUGAUUUAAGUACAUAUAAUGUACAUUACAGUUAGUCCUAAAAGCAUAUUACUGCAUGGAAUUAAUUACACGCUAAUUGUGUUUUGAAUAUGCUUGGAUGAACAUAUUUACAUAAUAGUUUAGAAUACUUCCUAGCUAACAUCUUUGAAAUAUUUAUUUAUCCAUGUAUCAAUUGAUUUGUUAUUUCUGAUGCUGUGUAAUUUUUAAUUGCUCUUUAAUUACUUAUGCAUAGAUUAUGUGAUAUGUUGAAAAACACUCUCUUGCACACAGCUGAGGUGACAAAGAAAUAUUUUAAAACUCAAUAGGAAGGAAGUUGUUCAUUCUGUAAAACAUAAUGUCAUCCAUUUUACUUUCCUAAGAAUAUCUUCAAUUACUGAAACCAGUAAAUUUAAAAUUAUUUUCUUGCAUGUUCUGGUAGUUUAAAUGAGGGUCUAAAUAUUUAGAUUCAAUAUUUUGGGUUUUUUUUAGUCUAAGGUUUUCACAGUAGCACAUCCUUGAAAAUGUUUUCAAACACAAGUCAAAGUAUUUUAACUGAUCCGGAGUAAAGCUCAAAGAAUUGAAAAAAAGACAUUGUUUUGCCGAUACUAAUGACUCCUAAGAUGCUUCUUCUAACACAGCCAUGAUUUUAAAAAAAAGGUCUUAAGACUUGAUAGGCCCUUUCUGUCAAGAGUAUUUCUUUUGCUGUUUCUAUGAAAGUAAGCUCAAAGCACAAGCCCCAGGAAAAUAAAAACAAUGCACAUGACUGACUUAAUAGAUCAUAGACUUUUAACGUUUCUACAUAUUCUGUCUCUACUCAACAUUCUCCUUAAGAAUUAGAUGAUCUUGCAGUGGAAUACAGCCAUCUGGCCAGACUAGAUUACUAUUGCUCUUUCCAGCAAUGAGGAUGAGGUUGCAAUUUUGUCAGAUAGUAUAAUGUUAGAUGCCUCAAUUAGGAGCAGAAAAAGUCAACUGUGCUUAGCUUGUGCCUAAACAUUUCUGAUGCCACAAUUGUCCUUAAUGGAGACCUAUUUGAUUGUGUCGUGGCAUGCACACCAAAAUUCUCUUUAACAAGAAACCAGGGAAUGUGAGAAAUUGUGUACUCCAGUUUUUGCCCUGACAUUCACUCAGUCUUAAUCCUACCUGGUUAUGGAAUACUUUGAUUCAGAUUUCAAUCAAUGGCUUGAUACCAGCCUGUCUCUUAUUAUGGACUUGCCUAGUGAUCACUGGAUCUGAUCCUUACCUUGACCUGCAGAUUGAUUUCAUGGUGUGAUCUCUGACCUGCUUCAUACCAUAAUAUUGCCUUAUGAUCUUACGAUCAAUAGAUGUUGUUGGCUAUGCAAUCUUUAUAUUGCUUUUGAAUUUUUAUAUGGUGAACUGUAACUACAUGAUAACCCUUCCUUCUGUAUUUUUCUGUGCCUUGUCCAUCUGUUGUUCUGUUCCAGCCCUCCUCUACCUAACACAGAGCCUUAGUCUCAUUCAGUCCAAGGAGCAGCUCUAGGGAUGAUUCAUGGGUUUGUGGAGAAAGAAGAUGUUGAUAAAUAGAAUCUCUAAUUCAUUAACUGGAAAAAAAAAAUUGGAAAAAUAUGUAAUCAAUAUGGCAGAGGACUGAAAGUAGAGGAAAAGACAAGAGUAAUUGAAUGAUGCCUUUGAGAAUUGUAUUGUUUCACUAUGCCACAGAGUUCCUCUGUGAUGUUAGAAAUUGUGGUGACUUUCACAGCAAACUUUAAGUGUACCACUCCACUGAUGCAGGCACUUGACAAGAACUUGUUAGGAUUUUUUUCCCAAGUAAGACCUAAAUUCUCUUACCUGUUUGGAUGGAAAAUGCUUUUGACUCUCUGCAUCCUGGUGGUUUCCUUCACAAGUUCUGAGUUCCAGUGAAAGGUUUACACAUGAAGACAAAGAAGACAAAUUUGUCUUGGUAAGUUUCUCUUCCAUCGUGAUUCACUGCUGAAUACUAUGGAAUGUCAACAACAAAGAUCAGAAAUACGAAGACUUUAUGACCAGAUAUAAAUUUGUAUCAUUAAAAUAAAUACGAAGUUUGAGCAAACGACUGGACUAUUGAAAUUCAGAAGCACUUGAAGGUGAAUACAUAUAAUCUAUACACGGACUACGCUGUUUAACAAAGGUACAGCUGUAGAUUAAGAUUUGACCAACAAUGAAAUCAACUUUAUUUUCUGUUCCAGGAGACAAGUGAUAACUUAAACCAUCAAAACCUGCAAUAAAAACUGGAAGUGAGUUACUGAUUUAUGAAGAAAUGUAUUUAAGAAGUUACAAAUACUGUGUUGGGAGGCAAAAGGUCAUAAGAAGUGGAUCAAUUUACAAACUGUUCAGAAAUACAAGGAGUAUUCGGGGGAAAUAUCACAAAUGUAAAAAGAAGCUUUACUCACUCAUCAGUGAUUUGACAAUAAAAAAACCCAAAUUACGUAUUUUUAACCCAGCUAUAACCUUCAUAUUAGUAUAUAGCUAAAAAAAGUGUGAAAUUCCUCAGUGGCAGAGACAAAUGCCUAAAUAUAUUAAAAUAAACACCUUAUGGAAAUAUUAAUUAUUAAAAGGAAAGAAAAUAUAACAACCCCUGAAUGGUUUCUGGGAGGUAUCACAGUAAUACAAGACUCAAGAUUACUUCAAAAUUCUGCCUUAGUUUAUUCAGUGACAAAACAUUAAGUUUAUCUAAACUUUCCCUGUUGUAUUUUUUCCCAGCUUAUGAGCUUGUUCUUGUAUUUCAACAUGUGUUGUCAAAAAAUGUUCCUCCCAACAUUCAAAGUACAUCUUUGUUGUAAAUGAAAAUUAUUUAUUGCUGAUCUUCCCCAGUUUCCUGGAAAACGAUUGAUUAUACAUCCUGGUAUAGUGCCAUUCCUGUAUUUGAAAGCAGGUCCUCCUUGAAAUCUUCUCCUUUCUGGACUGAACAAUCAGGUUUAUCUUUUUUUGCUCACAAGCACACAUUUUUCAGUCCAUCCUCAGUGACAGAUUUGCUUAGUAGUGAAAGCAUAUACUAAUAUCUAUAGCUUCUGAAAUUAUUUUAUAUAUAUUGCAUAACAACUAAUAUUUCUUUCUGUAAUUACUAGUACUGUGAUAUACGUUGGAAAUGAUUGUUUAAUUUAACAGGAUUUUAUAAGCUAGAAAAUACUUUUUAAGGCUGACGUUUUCAUCUAUUUUCUUAAAUCUAGGAAGAAUGGGAGUUAAAUUUAAAAUACACUAGCAAUGAAAAGUCUGAAAAGUAAUUAUACAGUAUCUGAACUCCAGUUCUAUGAUUUUUCUGGCUUUAAUGGUAUUUUAAACUUCUAGAAACUUGGAAAACACUAUUUUAAUAGUCUUGUAUGCAGGAGGAUCCUAACAAAACCCAAAAGCAUACUAGGUAUUUUGAAGUCAAUUAUAUGGUAGUGAGUAGGUGAAAGUAUUAAUUCUGCAUCCAGUGCUUACUUUUUACAACAUGCAGGAUAAUAGUAACAAAAAAUAAGGAAGACAUGCAUGGAAAGAGAAUGAGGUUUACCAACCCACGGACACACAAACUGCUUAAUUUCUAGGCAUUUUCAUUAGUUGAAUACUGAUGUUGUGGCAAUGUCAAGCCUUACAGUACAAGUUCAUGUCACUAAGACAUUUCUAAUCUUUCCCAAAAUAUUUUUCAAACUGUGGCUAUACUGGAAAAUCUAUUGAUUAUUUUUCCUUUGAUCUUGCUUUAUGUCUGCUUCCUCUUUCCUAAAAUGUUUUUGAAGUGUGUGAUUCCCACUUGACUUUUUAUGAGUGCAUAUCCAGAUGUAUAUUGCAAGCGCAACAUUUUUUUCAGGCGGUGCUAUGAAUUUUUUGUUAUUUUGCUGACUUGUGAGGUUAUACUUUGGAAUUUUGUCAGUUAUGACAUUCAUUCUGUGCAGUCCUUCCAGCACUUCAUGUGUUUUUUUUCUGGAAAAGUAAAAAAAAAAAAAAUCGCCUUCUGCAGAUGAGAUGCAAAGGGCAUUUACAAGAAUCAGCAACUGCCAAAUAACAUGCUGCAGGUUGGCAGGCUGCUUUUCUAAUCCGGCUUCAUUUGCCAGUGCAAUACUUGGUCACCUUAUGUAAUGAAUACAGUAACUUGAAUGCCAUAUCACCCGGCAUUUAGUGCUGGACAUAAUACUCCUACAAUAGUACAUUAUUAAUACAUUUGGGCAUAUAAAAAUUCAGUUUCUUUCCUGUAAUUUUCUUUGCUACAGCUAUCACUGAGAUCAUCGAUUUGGACCCAUCAGCUUUCUGCCCUUCAUGUGAUUUGUACUUUGCAUAGGAAACGCUUAUUCUUCAGUCAUUUUGGUCAGAAGGAAUUGGUGCAAUGUAAGCUGGCUUCUGUUUAUUCCACAAUGAUCCCUGAGGUGCUCCAUGCCAUCAUUAUAUCUGCAAAUUUGUUUGAUAUAGCACCCUAACGAUUGUGUGCUUUCCCCAGGGUAAUUACAAUUUCUGUCCACUUCCUUUUUGAUACUCAGCGUUUUCCCUGCAGCGAUAUUUGUAUUGUGCAUUUCUCCUCUGCAUCCUCUGACUGCUAUAUAUGCACAGCCGGCCCCACCUGACCCCUGUCCUACCAUAUGAGAGUUCUUGCCAAGCUCCAUCUGUAUUGUCUCGAAGGAAAGCUGUUGAAUUGUGCACCUGCACCUACUUUGAAUAUCAGAAGCUGUUUUUCUGGUCUGGUAAAUAUUAUGGCAAAAGCAAAGGGUUUUUUUUUCCUUUCUGUUUGGUUUUUUUUUUUUUUUUGAUAGAAAUAAUUCUGGAAAUUGACUGUUUUGUUCCUUUUUUGAGAAAUGAGUCAUAUUCCCACUAUUGUUCUGUAUCAUCGAGUAUACUAUUGACAGCUAUUUGGGUGAUGUAAUUUUUUUCAGAUUUUACCUGCACUAAGCUUUGGUUAUGUGUCAUCCCUCCAUUACUCUAAGCUGCCCAUUGGCAUAAUUCGGUGCAAUCUCAGCCCUGUCUGGCUUUCUGGCAGUGUGUCUGCCGUGUCCUCUCAGCUGUACAACCCUCUGGAAGAUGUCAGUCUUCACAGUUGUCUGUGUAUUGGGACUGAAUUAAAUUUCUUGCCAAACCACAUCUCCUAUAUUCAGUUGAUUCUGGCACAUUUGCCUAUGCACCUUCUUAUUUUCAGGUAGGCACUUUUCUUUUAAUUCUAUAGAGACCCAUUGAUUAAUCACUUGUUAAUUAUCAUUGAUUAAUAAAUGAUAAUUAAGCAGGUCACAGUAUGCCUUUAAAUAUUAAUUAUUUGCAUACAUGAAUAUUUAGUCUUUUGUUAAUAACUAGAGUAGAUUAAUUCUGCGGGUUUUACUGUUAACACAUGUAACUUGUACAUUUCAUUUCUCCAAAACAUUUUCAUAAUUUGAAAUCAUUUACCUGUAUUUUUUUUAAUUCAUUCUGUGUCAAUUUCUUUUUGAGCUGCAGCAUAGAUAUUUCAAAGUGAAACUGUUUUCUUUUUAUUUCCCCCCUUUUUUUUUUUCUUCCCUGUGCUGCUUAACAUCUUAUGUCUGGGUUGGCUACCCACAGCUUAACCCUAGCUGUCCAGUUUUCUAAGGCACUCUCCUCUUCCCCUUUUAGACUUCUAGGAAAGGCAUGCUGAGAAGUAGAUGCUUGGCUUUUCACACAAUACAGUGUUAACAUUUAGGCUGUGAACUUCUAUCACCGCAAAUACACUUUCCUUCUAUUUUCUGCCUUAGAGACUACUUUUGAUGAGAAUUUGUUAAUUUUAACCUGUUUCUUCACUGCUUCAUAUCCAUGCUUAAAAUUAAUAACAGUCAAUAUUAUGAUAUUUCUUUCUCUCUUCACUCCAAUUGUUUUCUUUUCAGACUUACCCGCAGCAGUCUAUAUUUUUUCUUUUGAAUCUUACGACCUUCGUAUUAUAAUACUGGGCCUCAGUGAUUCAAAAUCACUUCUUUUAUUUGAAAUUAUAGACUGGAUACUGUUGUACACCUUCUUGGAACUCUUGAAGCUUUUGGCACACAGCUUGGUCUAGUGAGGAUACACAGACAUUUCUGCUUUAAGGAAAAAAAAUUGUUCUUCCAACAAUUUGUCAGACUGUCUAGCUAUCAUGUUAUAGAUAGAACAAUUUAAUUUCUUCCUGUGGCUAUUUUGUCUCUUGUUACUCCUCUAAGCUUGUUCCCCCGUUGAUGGAACUUUUGCAGCACCUUGUUUCUCAUCCUGUAACUUUCUCUUUUGCCCUUUCUGCUGAUAUAAGAACUGUUUGCUAGAUCUUGUCUUUGAUCCUUUCCUUACUGAGACUCCAGGAGAAGUCAGUGCACAGAAUUUGCAAUGAAUCCCUCUAUAAUUUUUUUUUUUGUCUGCAACGCUUGUGCAAUGGAUGUACAGUGCUGUUCUCUUCCUUCUCCUUUUGUUGUCAUCUGCCUUAAUAGCAUGGUUAUGACGAUGGAUGCUAUUAUUAGUCUCAUAUGCUUGCAUAGUGUGGAACCAUUAUCAUCUCUGUGGAAGAAAGGGAACUGAAUGAGUCAAAAUGAGUUCUUUCACAGGAACAGGUCUAUGAGUCACAGUAUUUCUUCUGUCUUUAACUUCUUAGCCCCACCCUCCACAAUGUAAACCACGUACCUUAUGAUAUUUCUAUGCUGCUUUUCCUAUUAUUUCUUUAAUAUGAAAUCAUUCUUUUAACAGUUCAAACAGUUGCAUCCAAGAUUCUUUUUGUUAAAAAUCAAACUCUAAAAUGAAUCCAUCUCAGUUACUGUUAUCUAAAGAUAAUAGCUUGAAAUAAUCUCACAGUUCAACUGUGACUGGAUUCUCAAAUGGUUUCUAAUUUUGACUGCUAAAUUUCUUUCAGGUGAAUUUCCUCAGAGGGAUGAUAUAUUUUAAUAUGAAGUUAUGUCAAUGUAAUAUGUAUUUUAUCUUAAUUUUGAGGGGAGGGAAGUGCUUUUCCUGGGAUGUAAACAUAGGAAUAUAACAUAUAAAUAGUUUUUAU